UCAUCUUCUCAGACUUGUUGGCAUCAGGCACUGACGCUAAUAACGACUACACCGUCACCAGGAAGGAAUACAAACAGUUUGUUAGCACUUUCAACCCAAACCAGGAGUGGGAGCUCGCAUUCAACCUUUUAUUCAAAGACCUGGACUUCAACCACGAUCAGAUCUUUAACACAAACGACUUUUUGGCUUGUAGAUAAAUAGGUUAUUGGUUUGUACAAGACUGAUGUCACAAAGGAAAAAGACAUUGUUACAAGUUUAAUUCUAUUAUUCGAUUUAGUAAUAUUUCAGAUAAAAAAUAAAGUACUUCAAUAAGA
rnacentral:sRNA from 1 species